ACCUACUAGCCUACGACGGGUACGGGUUGUGAGAGCAAGAGCCCGGAGAUGGAUUCUGAGACACGAAUCCAGGCCCUACGGGGUGCAGCAGGCGCGAAAACUUUACAAUGCUGGCAACAGCGAUAAGGGAACCUCGAGUGCCAGGUUACAAAUCUGGCUGUCGAGAUGCCUAAAAAGCAUUUCAUAGCAAGGGCCGGGCAAGACCGGUGCCAGCCGCCGCGGUAACACCGGCGGCUCGAGUGGUAACCGUUAUUAUUGGGUCUAAAGGGUCUGUAGCCGGCCGGAUAAGUCUCUUGAGAAAUCUGGCAGCUUAACUGUCAGGCUUUCAGGAGAUACUGUCUGGCUCGAGGCCGGGAGAGGUGAGAGGUACUUCAGGGGUAGGGGUGAAAUCUUGUAAUCCUUGAAGGACCACCAGUGGCGAAGGCGUCUCACCAGAACGGACCUGACGGCAAGGGACGAAAGCUAGGGGCACGAACCGGAUUAGAUACCCGGGUAGUCCUAGCCGUAAACGAUACUCGCUAGGUGUCGGCCACGGUGCGACCGUUGUCGGUGCCGUAGGGAAGCCGUGAAGCGAGCCACCUGGGAAGUACGGCCGCAAGGCUGAAACUUAAAGGAAUUGGCGGGGGAGCACCACAACGGGUGGAGCUUGCGGUUUAAUUGGAUUCAACGCCGGAAAUCUUACCGGGACCGACAGCAAUAUGAAGGCCAGGCUGAAGACUUUGCCGGAUUAGCUGAGAGGUGGUGCAUGGCCGUCGUCAGUUCGUACUGUGAAGCAUCCUGUUAAGUCAGGCAACG
rnacentral:rRNA from 1 species